UCAUCAUUUGGCUCACUACCUGGGGAAAUAGGAAGCAAGCUUGUUGUGAGGCUCUGUGAUUUACUGACUCGCCGGCAGCAGUUCCCGUAGUCCUCAACACCAGCAGUGGACCCCUUGUCAUCAGCCCCAGGAGCAGUGGGAUCACUGACAACAGCACCAGAUGCUGGAACAUCAGACUUCCUGGACCUGUCAGGAUAUUUAUGAGGUCUACAACAAUAUAUCCACCAUUGUAUUUAUACAUUGAAAUGGUCCCUUCAAAUAUGGCUGCCGGGAGUGCACAAUUGAAGACCAAUAUGAACACCGGGGAUAUGUGUGCAUCUUAAUUGAGGUCAUCCUGUAUGAGAGGACUACUGAAUAUGUAACAGCAUACAGCAGGUGACUCAGCGCUUCUGGAUGAUGCUCCCGGCAACACAUCACUUACGGUUGCAGCCUUUCUAUCUGGACGUAAUGUAAGCCUGUACUUACGGUUACGGCUUCUCUAUCCGGAUGUGAUACAAGCCUGUAUUUGUAUCUCGCUGAAAGCGGGAUGUUUCUUACAGGAUGGACAUAUGACUUCCGGUCAUGACGCGGCGGUCCCGCCAGAAAUGAGGAGGACGUAUACCAUCCUGUUAUGUAUUAAAUAGAAAACCAGAAACGGCCUCUUCUAAAGGAAGUUUUCUAUGUUACAAUAUUGGGAUCCAUUAGAUUAGGUGAUCUAUGUCUAAUUUUAGGGUUGUUUAAGAUUGUUGCUAAAGGGGUAUAAAUUCCCAGCAUGGUUCCAUUUCCCAUACACCUUGACAAAGAUGCUAUAGGUAUCGAAACGCUUUGGAAGGAAAAUAGGCUGCAUCUAUUUGGACUUCUGCCCCAGGACAAAGAGGACUGUUCCAGGGAUGCCUGAGGUUCUUCUGGGUUCAUGUGAUUUUUGUCUACUUCUUAGUAGACCAUUCCAUCUGGUAGGAGUUCAUUUACCUGCAUUGUGUUCUGAUACCACUGUGUAUUUUAUGUGCUUUUGACUGUGCUUGACAGACCUAUAUAUUUAAUAGGAGUCUGUUUUACUAUCUGUUCUUUUACAAUAAAUAUUUCUUUGUAUGGUUUUAUACUA